rnacentral:rRNA from 1 species
AUUGAACGCUGGCGGCAGGCUUAACACAUGCAAGUAGAGCGGGGGAAGGUAGCUUGCUACCGGACCUAGCGGCGGACGGGUGAGUACUGCUUAGGAAUCUGCCUAUUUGUGGGGGACAACAUCUCGAAAGGGAUGCUAAUACCGCAUACGUCCUACGGGAGAAAGCAGGGGAUCUUCGGACCUUGCGAUACUAGAGGAGCCUAAGUCGGAUUAGCUAGUUGGUGGGGUAAAGGCCUAACAAGGCGACGAUCUGUAGCGGGUCUGAGAGGAUGAUCCGCCACACUGGGACUGAGACACGGCCCAGACUCCUACGGGAGGCAGCAGUGGGGAAUAUUGGACAAUGGGGGGAACCCUGAUCCAGCCAUGCCGCGUGUGUGAAGAAGGCCUUAUGGUUGUAAAGCACUUUAAGCGAGGAGGAAGCUACUUUAGUUAAUACCUGGAGAUAGUGGACGUUACUCGCAGAAUAAGCACCGGCUAACUCUGUGCCAGCAGCCGCCGUAA